rnacentral:tRNA from 1 species
GGGAAGGUGGCUCAGUGGUAGAGCGCUUGCCUUGCGUGCAGGAGGCCCUGGGUUC